rnacentral:rRNA from 1 species
AUUGAACGCUGGCGGCAUGCCUUACACAUGCAAGUCGAACGGUAACAGGUCUUCGGAUGCUGACGAGUGGCGAACGGGUGAGUAAUACAUCGGAACGUGCCUAGUAGUGGGGGAUAACUACUCGAAAGAGUGGCUAAUACCGCAUGAGAUCUACGGAUGAAAGCAGGGGAUCGCAAGACCUUGUGCUACUAGAGCGGCCGAUGGCAGAUUAGGUAGUUGGUGGGAUAAAAGCUUACCAAGCCGACGAUCUGUAGCUGGUCUGAGAGGACGAUCGGCCACACUGGGACUGAGACACGGCCCAGACUCCUACGUGAGGCAGCAGUGGGGAAUUUUGGACAAUGGGCGCAAGCCUGAUCCAGCAAUGCCGCGUGCAGGAUGAAGGCCUUCGGGUUGUAAACUGCUUUUGUACGGAACGAAAAGCCCCGGGUUAAUACCCUGGGGUCAUGACGGUACCGUAAGAAUAAGCACCGGCUAACUACGUGCCAGCCGCCGCUGUAA